ACUCCUACGGGAGGCAGCAGUUAGGAAUAUUCGGCAAUGGGGGAAACCCUGACCGAGCGACACUGCGUGAAGGAGGAAGGCCUUAGGGUUGUAAACUUCUGAACGAGAGACGAUAAUGACGGUAUCUCGGUAAUAGCACCGGCUAACUCCGUGCCAGCAGCCGCGGUAAUACGGAGGGUGCGAGCGUUAUCCGGAAUCACUGGGCGUAAAGGGCGCGUAGGCGGUUACAUAAGUCCGAUGUUAAAGCGUAGGGCUCAACCCUAUAAAGGCGUUGGAUACUGUGAAACUAGACUUCUGGAGAGGUAAGUGGAAUUACCAGAGUAGCGGUGAAAUGCGUAGAUACUGGUAGGAACACCCAUAGCGAAGGCAGCUUACUGGACAGAGAGUGACGCUGAGGCGCGAAAGUGUGGGGAGCAAACCGGAUUAGAUACCCUGGUAGCGAGUAG
rnacentral:rRNA from 1 species